AAACGCGAAGAUGGUCAAAAUUCAAAUAGACUUUUAAAUAUUAAGAAGACGGCAACGGGUUACGUUAUUCUUCUCCCGUCGAUUCAAUAUGUAAUUACGUUCACAUUUCCUGGUUUUCUUUUCUUUUAUAGAAAAAGGUUUUUUUUUUUUUGAAAGUACGAACUGACGCUGCGUUCUAAAAACAAAUCUGUAAAAGUAGAUAUGGUUUCCCAAUUAAACGUAAGUCUUCUACUCUUUUUUUCAAGCUCGUACAAUACUUCAACAUUUCUAGUCGGAGUCCCAGUGACAUGUGAGGUAUGAACAGUAUACCAAGUUUUUUUUUGCUAAAAACAG
rnacentral:lncRNA from 1 species